GACAGAGGGUGCAAACGUUGUCCGGAAUUACUGGGCGUAAAGCGCGUGUAGGCGGCAAUACAAGUCGGAUGUGAAAUCCCGCGGCUCAACCGUGGAAGUGCACCCGAAACUGUAUCGCUAGAGUCCCGGAGAGGAUGGUGGAAUACUUGGUGUAGAGGUGAAAUUCGUAGAUAUCAGGAGGAACACCGAUGGCGAAGGCAGCCUCCUGGGCCAGCACUGACGCUCAUGCACGAAAGCGUGGGGAGCAAACAGG
rnacentral:rRNA from 1 species